UUUACUGUCCAUGGUAUUAUCAAAAUAUAUCCAUGGGUAAAGUACAAAUGAAUAUUUUUCCAUCUCAAACUUGUUUUCAAAUGGGGGUUGGUGGGUUGACCGUGGCUUGCCAGGUGCCCACUAAAGCUGCUCUAUCAAUCCCCUCCACAACUGGACAUGGGAGAGAAAAUAUAUCAAAAGGUUCCUGGGCUGAGAUAAAGGCACAGAGAAAUCAUUUACCAGUUACCAUCGGGGCAAAACAGAGUCAACUUGGGGAAAUUCCUUUAUCACCAAUCAAAACAGGGUAGCACAAUGAGAAAUAAAAACUAAAUCUUAAAAACCCCCCCUGCCUUCUCUUCCUGGGUUUAGCUUUACUCCUGAAUUCUCUACCUCUUCUUCCCCAGUGGCAAGGGGAGGAGGGAGAUGAGGAAUGGUCAUCCUGAUACCAAAACCUGGCCAGAGAAAUCCAGUACUCAGAGGGCCUCAAAACACAUCCCAUGCAUGGGUUAAGUGCAGAAUUAAGAAGGGCUGGAGAGCUGGCUGAUGGGAAGACAAUGCAGGUGUUAUUGUAUGAAGCCUAUCGCUACUUUCUGCUGUCUCCAUCCUACAUGCCAGUAGGGAGUGAAGUAUGUUUUUGUCAAAAGCCCAAGUGAGUAGCAGGUACCUCAAGCCUUCAGACCAACACCAGGUGGCAUUUUAGCAGGCUGAGCUUCUCCUCACAGUGGAGGAGCACUUUUUUGCUAGGGCUGCUUUCUAUGGAGACCCAUCCUUGCACUUGGCUCCUGACACCUCUGGACACCCCAGUCCAGCAUCAACACUGCAGAACUGAGCAGGGAAUGUGACUUCCAAAUAUGAACAAAUUUAGAAGUGCAGCACGGAAUAUAGCAAUAGGUCCUAAAGGAUAAUCACAGAGUGGAAGGUCUCUGCUCUGGUUUUAAAAAAACUUAACCAAACAAACCAUGCAAACUGUAUAUACAGUGCCCAGCUUGUUCAACAAGUUUCUGAGGUGCUGGACUACAGUGUGCAGUGAGUGUGCUGGGCCAGUCCAGCAGCGAGCCAGCCAGCCACCCAGACAGAGCUCCCACAGGUCCAGCUCCAGCUCCCAGCCUGAGGCCCAGCUGGAAAAGAAAAAAAAUAUGAAUUCUGUCUCAUUCUGCUUACAUGGUGACUCACGGGAGUUCUGGCAGAGGCAGAACUCUGAAAUGUCUAAAGGGCAGCAGGUGAAGAACGUGGAGCUUCCUACACCUUCCUUCAUGACAAAUCAAACCAUGUUCACCUUCCUGUUCAGGUCAGCAGCAGUACCUUGGCAGUCAUUCCAAGCUUCCCUUCUGCUGCUGAAGAGUUAUCUCGUAACAUAAUAAAAUGGCCCUGCUGUGCCCUCCUGAUUUACAUCCCACAGUCCUCAGGAGAGAGGAAGGAGUUGCACUGCUUCAGCACAGGAGGUGGGAAGCACAGCAACCCCUCAGUCUGUCAGUUCCAAGCAGCAAGACGGUCCUGAGAGCACACCUGCAGACAGCAGUAUCUGUACAAAGGGGCAGCAGAGUCCUUCUGUGCUUAGCCAAGCAACAGAACACACACAAACCAUGAACCAGUGCUGGGAUAAUGCAGGGAGGAAGCACGUAUCAGAAACAACUCUCUGAAAAGAAAUGUGGCUUCAUCAAACACUGCUGAAGUCUCCCACGGGACAGUAGUCAAACGAGUAAAGAAACUCAGGAACUCCUGGUAUUACCAAGCACCAGGUACUAAGCCUGGGGGGAGGAUGCUGGAUGGCACGGGCACAAGGAGACACAUUUGCUUAGAAGAAGCUGAACUUGUGACAAAACCAUGACUCUGCUACACCGUGGGCCAACACCCGUGUGCAGCCCAGCGCUGCGUGCGAGCCCUGCUGGCUCUGGCAGGGUUUACUGACAGCCCAGCCACGGACAAAGCGCUGGAUUUGAUAGGUCAUGCAAGUGAACACCUCUCAGGGCUGUAUUCCCGCUGCCUCCAACAAACACAAGCUGUCAGGGACUUACUCAGAAGGAAACACAUGGAGAUGCCAGUUCCCCAGGGAUUUCUGCAACCACGCUCAUGAACCGAGUGUUAAGGCUGAAUAAAAUGCAAAGUGCCACCACAUGAGCAGAGAAGUUGACUGAUGGAUUUGAUUGAUUCCUUUUAAAUUAAUCACAUACUUUCUCUCUAGUACAAUUCCCUGCCUAAGCCACCAGACAGAUGUUCUUUAUUCUUCAAAUGUGCACUUCAGUCUGAUCCCUGUAUAAAAUUGAGAAGCAAAAUUUCACUCUCAGGAGCUUUGCUUUGGGUAUUAUUCAUGCUGGCUGGUGGGUGACCUGUGAGGGCUCCUGUGCGCUGGGACAGGGUGAGCCCAUGGGAAAGGGGUAAUUCAAGGUGAUACACUGAGUGUCAACACACUCAUUGAUUGUGAGAGAGGGGAAGGAACAGGGGCAAAAUGCACACAACAACAGUUUUUCAAAUGAUGUACUGAAUUUGCUUUGCUAAGAUGUCCAUUUUCCAGCAAUAAAGGCAAGCAAGCUAAGUCAGAGAAAAAGAAAAGGUCUUAAAGAAAGGAGGCCCAGCUUAGCACUGAGAAGAGAUUUUUCAUAAUAAUUUUUAGACAGUCCUAUCCAUAUCUCCUGUAAAGUAGAAUCAGCCAGGUCUCACAGUUACGCCUUGGUUUACUUCUAAUUAGGCAUGAGUAGGUAAAAACAGUAAAAUCAGCUUUACAUUCAAAAUUACUUUGAUGGACACAGGAGUCCACAGGAGUAACAGCAGAGUGAACAAAGGGGUAAGAUUUUAGAAGAUGGGCACAGCAUUUUGUCACAUGGCAUCAGUUACAAAUCUGGAAUAAGGUUAGUUAGAAUAAAUAAGGUAGAUAUUGGAGAUACAUCUUCUUGGCAGUUCUUUGUGACAGUCUAUUGUUCUUAGUCUGUACAUUUUUAUCACCUCCACACAGUUUGUUUAA